rnacentral:rRNA from 1 species
GACGAACGCUGGCGGCGUGCUUAACACAUGCAAGUCGAACGGAAAGGCCCUGCUUUUGUGGGGUGCGCGAGUGGCGAACGGGUGAGUAACACGUGAGUAACCUGCCCUUGACUUUGGGAUAACUUCAGGAAACUGGGGCGAAUACCGGAUAUGAGCUCCUGCUGCAUGGUGGGGGUGGGAAAGUUUCGGUGGUUGGGGAUGGACUCGCGGCUUAUCAGCUUGUUGGUGGGGUAGUGGCUUACCAAGGCUUUGACGAGUAGCCGGCCUGAGAGGGUGACCGGCCACAUUGGGCCUGAGAUACGGGCCAGAGUCCUACGGCAGGCAGCAGUGGGGAAUAUUGCACAAUGGGCGGAAGCCUGAUGCAGCAACGCCGCGUGCGGGAUGACGGCCUUCGGGUUGUAACCCGCUUUCGCCUGUGACGAAGCGUGAGUGACGGUAAUGGGUAAAGAAGCACCGGCUAACUACGUG